CCCUGCCAUAGGACAGGCUGAGGCUGAGUCUCAGUGUUGCCCUGUUCAGUCUGAGGCAAGUGGGAUUUAUUUUAUUCCUUAUAGGGGCUUUCACAGCUUGAUGGCUGUUGGAUAUUUAUGUCCCCAAACUUGCAGCAAGUUUGGUGAAGGCCCCUACAUUUAAUUAAACGUAGGAUUUUUAUACUCUUUUGGCAGAGAAGGCUCUAUAUUAAUAUUCACGUUUAACUGUGGUGUUAAUAAACAUAAAUAAGAAGCAUUGGAUAUACAUAAUUUGUGUUACGUUAUACUUAAAAGCCUCAGUAAAGCUGGCAUUGCAAUAUUGCAGUUUUGUAAAUUGAAAAAAAUUGACAUUUUUGAUUUGGAGGCAUGAAAUAUUUCAAACAAAUUUUCCACUUUCAAUUUUUAGGAAAAUCAUGCUGGUUAUUUUCUCUUGAAACUAUUAAAUUUAACCUCAAGGAUAAGUUUGAUUAUUGGAAAUGCUACUGGGUACUGAAAUACACAUUCUUAAUCCCAACGUUAUGCAUUGAGCAUUAAGGUUGAAAGGUCAUCUGGAAAUGCUUGUGAUUUUUAAUAUUUUUCAAACCUCACCACAUUAGAGCAAAUGUUAAUGUAGAGCCCUGGGAAAAGUGGGAAGGUGGUAUGUGUGUGGUAUGUAUGCGUAUACACUACACAUUGGAGAUAGUGAAAGUUUGGGUAUUACAGACCUGUCAGUAUGGCUAGAUUACUAAUUUUCAGGUAGCCAAGUGAAAAUCGUAUCGUGGUAAAAUUAGUGUAUUGAACUGUGGAUUCGAAACAAUUAAUUUUGAGGUUCAUUUUCAGUCUUAGUGAACAAUAUUUUAUACAAACUACAUACAUGAGAAGUAUCCAUGUUUGUUUCCCAACUAAAGUUUGCUUUAAGUUGGUGAGAAAAGAUGAGUUUAUGCCUGUAUAUUGUAGGAAGUAAAAAGGGAACUGGAAGAGAGGCCAAAACAAAAACCUGGGUUUUGUUUCUUCCUGUGUUUGAGUCACCAUUCUAUCCAGAUAGCAUUUUCAUCUGAACAGUAACAAUUAACACAUAGUACAGCGUUUUUCGCAAACCUGGUAUUGUGUUUCUAUAUGGUUUUAAUUCAAAGCAUAAAGAAAAAAAAUGCAUUAAAUGAAUUCCAAGUUUUCACCUGGUUAAUUAAUUAACUUUCAUAUGCUUUUCUCUGUGACUGAAUCAUGGGGGAAUAGAUUUAAAUGUUUGAAUAGGAGAAUUUUGUCGUGAAAGUAUUCCACUGAAAUAUUUUAUAAUCUACUCAAUAAUUAUACAUUUUAAGACUCCAUAUUUGGAGUUGUUUUCUGUUGCACCACCAUUUCCCAAUGUACUGAAAUAUUUUAAGAGCAAAGCUGCUUGUUCUGAUAGUGGUAAUUGAAAUAAUUAUAUUUCAAAUAGGCUCUUAGAUACCUGUAGCAGAGGUAAGAGGGGUUUCCUUAAGGGUGGCAUAAUGAUAUAUCUAGUUCUGUGACUCAAAUACAAUUUUAAUAAUUACAUAACUUUCGAGUGUUUAUUACGUUCACUGGUAAAACUUGAUAAAUAAAAGGAAAUGUUGAAGUUACCUCUUUAUUGACAUAAAAUAUACACUUGUGUUGGUUAGGAGAUUCUAAAAAAUUCAACAUGUACCCUAAAAUUUGUAUAAAUCAGGCACGUCUUUUUUAAAAGGUGGUAUUUACCUGUUUGUAAUUCCAAAAUGAAACCUGUUUUAUCUCACUGUAACUACGGAAAAGUCUUCUAAAACGGGAGGGGUUCAGUUCUAAAACUAUUGACUAUAAAGCAGAUUUUUGUGAGUAAACAUUUCCCCAAUUAUAUUUCUGCUUGCUGUCUCAUGACUUGAAUAUUAGUGAAGGGUACUGGUUUUUUUUUAACCCUUAGAAUUUUGUCAUCUGAAUCAUUUUAAUAAAUAACCUUUUUUUCUAGCAUAGAAAUCAUUUAAGUUUUCCGUGUGGUAUUUAUUGGCAAAAUAAGCAGUUACUUUAGUAAUGUAUAUAUAGUGUUGUAAACAUGGUGAUUUCACAAUUUUGUAAUGUUGACUUUUCAGAACUAUUAAUAUCUUAGAUCUAGAUAUUCCCUAUUAUGGAUUUAAUUAAAAAUACUUAUACAUAGGAUGUAGGGAAAACAGGACUUUGACCUCCCUAAUCUUCAACCUUUCCAAGUGUGUUCAUAUUCUUGACAGUUUUGUUGGAAAAUAAGUUUUAAAAGUAGCAUUUUUUUAAAAACUAGAUUUCUUUAGUAAGGCUCAGAAGAUAAUUAAUUGUAUUUUAUUAGCAUUGUCUUCCCUGGGGUGUAUACAUUCUUGCUUGCAUAAUUUGGCCAUAAAAGAAAGAGCUUCUCAUUUUGCCAACUCUGGAAAAAUAAUAACUUAAAACUAAUAGUUUCAGAUUUUUGAACCAUCUCUAAAUCUAUUCCAUUAAUAUAUAUCCUCAGGGGAAAAUAUAUUUCCAUAAGUAAGAUAUAGAAGUUAUAUUGAGCAGAAAUUGGAGACCUGAAGGAGAUCUUCACUGAAGCCAAUUUGAACCAUUUCUUUUUCAAGCAAAUUGGACAUUAUAAAUUAAGACUGUUUCAUGUUAGGUUCUUUAGGAGGCGUGUAAUCACCAGGUAUAUUGUGAGAAUAUGUUUGUGUAUAUGUUUUAUUUUGAUGAAAUUAACUACAUAGAAGACACAUGUGAGUAAACUUGUAGUGAUUGGUUAUUUGGACCCUACCCAUUAAUACUAAGAAGUGUAAAGUGGUGAGAUGGCACAGCUUCAGUAGCGUUCUGUGUAUUUGGUCAGGAUUUGUAUAAUGCUGUGUUUGUAAAAAGGGGAAGUCCUUUAUUGGAAUUCUUCAAGCCCUUUGGCAUUCUUAUGUGUCCGGGAUUUUUAAAGAAUCUGUAUGCUUUCACCUUUGGUUAAUUUUUAGCACCUGACAAUGAAAUUCAUUGAUGCCCAUCGUUGAUAAAAAUGAAGAAUGUUAUGUCCUCCUCAGUGUACUACACACAGACUAAUAGUGAUUAUUUGGGAGAGAGACCAUUGUAUAGUUUUGCUAGACUUAAGAACUUUAAAUGUAAUGAAAGGUAAUAGCAUUUCUGCUCUUGUUUUGCAUUUAUUAUAAUACUUUCACCAAAUCAUGUUAUAAUGUAGCUCAUUCUCAAUAUUUUAUUUAUAAAUAGUCAGAGUGAAAAGAUUUGCAGCAUUAUUUCCCAGCCUCUACUCAUAAAACAACGCUGCUUAACUACCCAAGUGAUCCAACAGAAGAGUUAAUAAAGUCCUCAGCAGAAUUUCAGCAUUUGCUACUUACUGGUAGAGAAGAAAAACCCCACAGCCCUGCCAGUACAGGUUAGUUUAAUCUGUAAGUACCUGAUAUUCCUAUUUUUUUUCCAAACAUAUCCACAUAACCCACACAAGGAAGAAAGCUGCAGUUGCUUAAAUGUGAGUAUGACUACUAAUAGACCCAUUGGACACUUUCAGACCCUCUACUUGGGCAAAUUAUUAGCUUUAGGUUUGCUAACCUCCAUUGUAAUAGAAGGUAAUACUACUCCUUUAUUAUUUGGUUGUGGUUGAACCUAAAUAGAUAUAUUGUACAUAAAAGGAAAAGACAGUGAAAGUUUCUAUUAGCUAUAUGCUAAUUUUGGUAUGUCAUAUGGAAUGCAGGGCUUGGAUCCAGGGUCUUUUACUUAAGUCACUUCUGGGGUGGUAUUUAAUUUACCUUUCAACUUCUUACAGUAUGAAUCAACCCAAAAAGUUUCCUCACCUUUAGCAAUGAUAAAUGGUGGGUUUUUUAGCUCGUAAAAGUUUUAGUAAUUUGCUGUAAAUAAGUACUAAUUUUGUUCGUUUUUUGUAAACUAGAACCUAUUCUGUUGGUGCACCACCAUGAUGGGUUUAUUUUACUUUGAACCAAAAAUAACAAACCUUACUUUUUAAAUAUUCAAAUGAAAGCUGACUACCCAUCAAGAAAUCUAGAUGGAUUCUCCAUAUGUUUCUUUUGAGGAGCAGAGAUGUAAUGGAUUGUAAAAGAUGUUCAAGUUUUUAUUAUUGUUUUCAUUGGUCUACCAUAGUUUAUUGUUUCCUUGAACCAUUCAUGAGAAAUAUCCUUUAACCUUUAAAUACUGUACUCUUAUGUUGAUAAAAAUUUAAAAUACCAAGAUGAAGAAUAAAGCAUGCAGCUUAGCUUUUAUGAAAGCCUGAACCAUCCUUCCCGUUUGUAGCAUUGAUGGAUUCAUGGCUUCCUCCUUUACACCGAAGUGUAAUGUCUAAUUUGAUUGAGACAGUCCACCCAUAAAAGCAACUAGGAUGGUGAUCAACAUUCAGUUAAAUUUUUUUAAAGCCUCAAUUUAUCAACUGAUGAAAAAAAAUAUAUUUUAUAAGGUAUCCACUUGGUUUUUAAUACAAAAUUACCUAAGGGCUUAAGUUUCAUUGCCUUUCACAGUUAAAACUGUAUAAGAAAUGGUGUAGAUGCAGUGGAAAUGGUUUUCCUUAAAACCAUCUCUUUAAAGCUGCCAUUCUGGUGAGUACUAUUUUAUACUUUUGUAUAUCAUAGUUUUUCCUUUUAAAUUUUACCAAAAGGGGAAACUUCAAAGAGUGGCAAUCUGAAUUUCUGCACUCUUUAUUAUUUACUUAUUUGUUUGUUUAAAAUAUAUUUUGUUGCUGAUUUCAGAGAGGAAGGGAGAGGGAGAGAUGGAAACAUCAAUGAUGAGAGAAUCAUUGAUCGAUUGCCUUCUGCAUACCCCACAUUAGGGAUCGAGCCUGCAACUCGGGAUAUGCCCUUUACCAGACAAAAUCAAACCCAGGACCAUUCAGUCCACAGGUCAAUGCUCUAUCUACUGAGCCAAACCGGCUAGGGCUGCACUUUAGAUAUUACCUGAAUUGAGAAUGUUAAGAAGGUGAUUUUUUUACCUCUUGACAUUUCUGCAGUAAUCUGGGUUCAUUUUUUUGUGUUUUUUUCCUGAACUUCACUUAACAGACUAACUACAAAAACUUUUUACAGAAAUUAGUUCCUUUUGGUGAGAUGGAAAAAAAGGGUUUUUAUUCAAAACUAUCUAGCAUUUAUAAUUUUAAGCUUAUGAUUUUUUUUAGUUGACAACCAAAAUUUCUUUUGGUUCUCACUUUGUAUAGGUGUAAAAUUUAAAUACCAGAAUUCCUAUAUGUUCUUGAAACUGUUGUAGUGAUUUGUGAGCAAUUAAGCGGAGGGUAAGGUUGAAGGAGGCUGGCCUGAAAUAUGGUAAUGUUGAUUAAUUGAUUCUCUUUGAGUGAGGCUAAUUGAUUCAUUUUGACUGAGACUUCAAAAUUUCCAAUGUGUUUUUAAAUAGCUAACCUUGCAUGAAAAACUUGGGUUAGAAAUAGUGGUUUCUGGGACUGUAAACCAUGAAAAUUAGCCUCUGUAUAUUUUUAGUUAAUUGAUACCCAGUUUAAUACCUUCCCCUCUAGUCUUGAGCCACAAGCUAGGUAAUGUAAAUAUAUACUUAGGAUGUUUUCACUUUGUAUCUCCUGCUGAUCUUUCUAAACUCAAAAUGAACAAUCAACUCUUAAUGCUUUUUAAUAUGAACAAUGACAGUUUUCUAAAAUCUGAAAAAUGGUGCCUGAGUAUGUGAUAAUGGUGAUGCAUUCUUCUAGAUAAAGUACUAAACAAUGUAUGGACCCUUAAUUUAUGUCUUUAAGAUUUAAAGUGAAGUAAAUUUCUAAGGAACUCUGUCCUUUCCUAGCAAGGAUAAGCAGACAUUGAAAAUUUGGUAAGUAUUUAAAUGCAUGUGAUAGUGAUGAAAGAAAGUAGCCAAAUUUCCAUAGUUUAAGAUAAUAUGUAGACAUGAACAAGAUUCUUGGAUCUCCUUUGCGACCUAAUGUCUGCGUGUCUUGCCAGCAGUUUUAUAAACCGGUGUUCACAAUGAUUAAAUUGAAAUGUACCUUACUCCAUGUCUGGUUUGUUUUCUUUUUCUUUUGUAUGGUGCUUUCAAAUACUAAUUUUAUAUUUCAAGCUUUUUAAAAGGUUAUAUUCAAGAGGUGUUACUCAGAUGUCCCUAUUUUUAAACCCAAUGGCAACUUUCAAUUUAUAAACAUUUGUUUUCUAGCUCCGAUGAAAAAUAGGCAGCUGAUUAUUAAAAUGGGGGGGGGGGGAUAUUUGUACUCUUUCUGAAAUAUUUAUAGGGAUCAAUAUAUUACAGUAAAAUAUUAACUGCCAAGGUUUCAGGUUCAGUCCUGGGUCAGGGCACAUACAGGAAUCAACCAAUGAAUCCAUGAAGUAGAACAACAAACCUGUGUGUAAAAAAAAGAACAACAAGAUAGCCCUGGCCAGUGUGGCUCAUCCCUUGCACCAGAGGUCAUGGGUUUGAUUUCCCAGCUAGGGGCAUACAGGAGGCAACCAGUCGAUGUAUCUCACAUCAGUGCUCUAUGUCUCUAUCUCUGUCUUCCUUCCUCCCCAAAAUCAAUUUUCCUUAAAGGCAAAAGUUUAAAAAAAGAUGGUAUGUGGAAGUUAAAAUUUAAUUGCUUCACCAGGGACGGUGACUUAUUUCUUCUGAGUAGUAUGUUCAUUUCUUUCCAAAAUAGUAUGCCAUUAAUUUUUGGAGUGCCACAAGAUCCCAAUGUAUUAUAGGAAAGAGACCCUCCCCUCAGUUUAGCCUCCAGGCAUCACUCCAGCAUUGUACUGGUGUGGAGGGAAAUGAAGAGCAAGCAAGUCAUAUAAGAGAUAUGAUGGUAAGAGGGACCUGAACAAAACAAAGGAAGAAGAUGAAUGGCUAGAUCAUGUGUGUGAUUAAGUGGUCUAGAUAAACAAAUAAAUGUGAAUGGUGGCAUAAUUUUUAAUGUAAGAAAAGGAAAUCACUGAUAUAAAGGUAAUUAAAUACUAGCUUAAAAGUAACAUUCAAACUCUGGCAAUUAAUAAUUGCACUUUGUGGGCAUUUGUUUUUAAAUAAAAACUUCUAACACAAAUUAUAGUUCCUUCUGUCAUUUUGAUUUAUCACCUGGGAGGUAGUGCAAAAGAAAAAUGAUCACAUUUAUAGUGUUUUACUUACGUUAAAUUUUAGUCUAUUUGUGUCUUUUGGUGGGAAGAAAUGUUUCAGUUUCUGGCACCAUAUAAUAAUUAAACUGGAACUCACAAAGGG